UUUCCGUAGGUGAACCUGCGGAAGGAUCAUUAUUGUAUAACCGAGGUGCGAGGGCUGUCGCUGACCCGAAAGGUCGUGCACGCCCGAGUGCCCUCACACACAUCCAUCUCGCCCCUACGUGCACCACCGCGUGGGUCCCCCUUUGGCUUGUUCGGAGGGGGGCUUACGUUUUCACACAAACUUUGUAUGCAGUGUAGAAUGUAUUUUUUGUUUUUGCGAUCACGCAAUCAAUACAACUUUCAACAACGGAUCUCUUGGCUCUC
rnacentral:misc_RNA from 1 species